UACGUAGGUGGCGAGCGUUAUCCGGAUUUAUUGGGCGUAAAGCGUCCGCAGACGGUUUGUUAAGUCUAGAAUCAAAGCCCGGAGCUUAACUUCGGUUCGUUCUAGAAACUGGCAGACUUGAGUAUAGUAGAGGCAAGUGGAAUUUCUAGUGUAGCGGUAGAAUGCGUAGAUAUUAGAAGGAACACCAGUGGCGAAGGCGACUUGCUGGGCUAUUACUGACGUUCAUGGACGAAAGCGUGGGGAGCAAAUAGG
rnacentral:rRNA from 1 species